rnacentral:tRNA from 1 species
GCCCCCAUAGCUCAUCGGUUAGAGCAGGCGACUCAUAAUCGCUUGGUGGCAGGUUCGAUUCCUGCUGGGGGCACCA